rnacentral:tRNA from 1 species
GCCAGUGUGGUGUAGUGGCUUGAGCAUUGGACUAUGACUCUGAAGAAUGGGGUUUGAAUCCCCGUUCAGCCA